CCUACGGGAGGCAGCAGUGGGGAAUAUUGGGCAAUGGGCGCAAGCCUGACCCAGCAACGCCGCGUGAAGGAAGAAGGCUUUCGGGUUGUAAACUUCUUUUCUGAGGGACGAAGAAAGUGACGGUACCUCAGGAAUAAGCCACGGCUAACUACGUGCCAGCAGCCGCGGUAAUACGUGGGGGGCAAGCGUUAUCCGGAUGUAUUGGGUGUAAGGGGCGUGGAGGCGGGGAAGCAAGUCAGAUGUGAAAACGCAGGGCUCAACCCUGAGCCUGCAUUUGAAACUGUUUUUCUUGAGUUCUGGAGAGGCAAUCGGAAUGCCGUGUGUAGCGGUGAAAUGCGUAGAUAUACGGAGGAACACCAGUGGCGAAGGCGGAUUGCUGGACAGUAACUGACGCUGAGGCGCGAAAGCGUGGGGAGCAAACAGGAUUAGAUACCCGGGUAGUC
rnacentral:rRNA from 1 species